CCUACGUGUGGCAGCAGUGGGGAAUAUUGGACAAUGGGCGAAAGCCUGAUCCAGCCAUGCCGCGUGUGUGAAGAAGGCCUUCGGGGUGUAAAGCACUUUCAGUGGGGAAGAAAGCCUUGGGGCUAAUACCCUCGAGGAAGGACAUCACCCACAGAAGAAGCACCGGCUAACUCCGUGCCAGCAGCCGCGGUAAUACGGAGGGUGCGAGCGUUAAUCGGAAUUACUGGGCGUAAAGCGCGCGUAGGCGGUCUGAUAAGCCGGUUGUGAAAGCCCCGGGCUUAACCUGGGAACGGCAUCCGGAACUGUCAGGCUAGAGUGCAGGAGAGGAAGGUAGAAUUCCCGGUGUAGCGGUGAAAUGCGUAGAGAUCGGGAGGAAUACCAGUGGCGAAGGCGGUCUUCUGGACUGACACUGACGCUGAGGUGCGAAAGCGUGGGUAGCAAACAGGAUUAGAUACCCUAGUAGUC
rnacentral:rRNA from 1 species